UUUUCUUCCCUUUCUUUCUCUCUUUCUCAUUCUUUUCUCCCUGCCAGAAGAUUGGAGACGAUAUUCUUUUGCGAUCAAUUCAGUAAUACAGUGUCUUUGAGUGUUCACACGAGCAUUUCAGUGGAGAAGAAAAGAAACUUUGCUACCUGGGAACAGAAGACUGCUUAGGUCAGUGAAUGCUAAUAAAGUCCUUAAGGACUUAUGGAGCCAGGAGUUAACUUUUGUCAACUCUUAAGGUAAUUAAUUGCAUUGCUUGAACACAUGCUGUGCCCUGGGAACUAUAUUAGGUCUUCAGGGACUCAGGAGAUGGUCUGGGAUAUUGACAGGGACAGCAGAAGAACUUCAAAGCGAAGAUGCUGGUGUUCCCCAUCCUGCUGUUCUCACUUCUCCAGGACCGAGGCCCCGUGGAGGGAACCAAGAUCCUAGACCAUCCCUUAGACAUGAACUGUAUUGUUGUAGGGAUCAAAUGAGUCAAAACACACCAUGUGGCUAGAAUAAUGACUGGAACACAGCAAGAGUUGCCUUGGCACCCAGCUUGUGAGUAAUAUUAAUUUUUAUUAUAUACAUUUAUUGAAAAAUAAACAGUUGUAAAUAAUCAACAUUCCAUAAGUUCACUAUCACCACUGAGAGCUUACUCUUAGCGGACUUUGGUCCCAGCAUUUUCUUGCUUUAUCCCAUUUCAUCCUCAUCUCAAGCCUAGAAAUAGGUGUCAUUCUAUCUCCAUUUUGCAGUGAGGCAGUGUGGUCUCUGAGAGGCCAGGAGGCCUGCCCAAGUGCAAACAGCUGAUGGUGGAGCUGGUUUGUAGUGGAGAACAAUGGCUCUUGACCCCGGUGCUCUUGGUAGGUGUGCCCUAAGUGGACACAUUCAGUAAUGUUCCCCAGUCUCCCAGGAGUCCACGGCCAUCACACAUUGCUCAACGAUCAAUACCCACUCUUGGUUGCUUCAGGGUGUUUGAAAAGUCACGGAGUUGUACGAAGUUAUAAAGCCAGAGUCGUGGUUGUGUUGCUUUGUCCAUCUCAUUAUUUUGUUGACGCUUCUUUGGAUUUGCUGUCAUAUUUUAAGCUCUCAAGGGUGAAGGAUACUGUUUCUUCCUUCUUUUUGUGUGUGUCCUCUGUAGCAUCGGAGACAGCACUGUGUUCCAGAGUUUUCUACCGUACACACAGCAGAACCAAAUUCAGUUUGAAGAACUUUGCUGAUAGGACCACCCGGCAUCUCCUCUGAAGAGACUUCCAGGGUCCCACUCCCUCCCAGCCCACCUCUCCCUUCCUUCAAUCAGACCAGGUCACCCCUGGCCUGCCCAGCCCUCCUGCAGCACUCGUGACAACCUAGCUCCCCACCUUCAGUCUAGAUCGCUUACUCUAUUACACGUCAGGGACCUAGUCAGCCGGUUUCAUUUGCUGCGUGCCUGGCUGUGCUCAACACAUAGAAGGUUCUCGGUAAAUACUAAUCCAAUAAGCAAAUGAAGGAGGGUUUUUAAUUAAGCCUCUGAAUCUCCCUAAGAAUUUGCAGAUGGCAGUGACACUUGAUUCCUUGGGGGCUUCAGAGAGGAGUGGGGGAAGCUUGAGUGCCUGUGAGCAUGUACGGCGGCGAGCAUGUGCCCAGGCGGCUUCCCUUAGCUCACGGGAUUGUCUGUCAGCACCCCGUCCCCCCUCUUGAUGGUCACCCACAUCCCCAGCUCCAUGCAGCUAAGGCGCAGGUGACGCCAGUGUCUUUCCUCCAGACCUCAUGGCUGAGCUCCCUCUAGAAAUGAGCCCCCAUUCCCAUGACCCUUCAUUCCCUUUAUUCCCUGGGGGAGUCCAUGGAAUUUGCAAAUCAAGAAAUGUUGCUGAUUUUCCUGUGUGUCGGCUCCAAGGAUCAUAAUGUCCUUUUAUCUGUUUGCUUUCAUAAAGCCCUUUCAUUUCUUGAGGUAUGGUCACAUACUUUUUUUUCCAUUUGGACAAAGCAACCGGAGGAGUUUAAUAAUAGUGUUGGCAAAGUAAAAUGAAUGAUCCGUAUUCUUGCUGAGUGUCUCGGACCAGAAUCAAUUUAUGUAUUAAUUCGAUUUUUUUUUUUUUUGGUCUUUUUGCCAUUUCUUGGGCAACUCUUGAGGCAUAUGGAGGUUCCCAGACUAGGGGUCUAAUUGGAGCUGUAUCCGCCGGCCUACACCACAGCCACAGCAACGUGGGAUCCGAGCCGCGUCUGCAACCUACACCACAGCUCACGGCAACGCUGGAUCCUUAACCCACUGAGCAAGGCCAGGGAUCGAACCUGCAACCUCAUGGUUCCUAGUCGGAUCCAUUAACCACUGCGCCACAACAGGAACUCCUGUAUUAUUUGAUUUAAUUCCUAAGUGAUGGCUAUAAUAGUGCUCUAGAGUUUGGACUGACUGGAUUUGAAUCUUGGCUUCCUUACCAGCUGCAUGACUCUGGAUCACUUACUUCAACUCUUUACACCCAUUUCCUUAUGAGAAAGGGGGGCAUUUAAUAAUAAACAUGCCAUGGCGUUGUGACUAGGAAAUAAGAUAACGCAUGUCAAGUGCUAUGCAUAGUGUUUGGCACGUGGUGAGUAUGUAAUAAUUUCUCACAAUAAACUCGUUACAGACUAUCUUAACAGAUGGGCAAAGAGAUGCUUCAAGUCCAGAGUUGAGGCCCAUGGAUUAACCCCCAUGCAAUCCCACCUGUUGAGUAUUGACAAUCACGCCUUCUCUUUAGAUUGGACUUGACAUCUUGGGCCAACUGGUCUUGAAAAGUAAUGAAAGCUUCCGACAUGUUAUUUGAUAACUUUGAAUUCUCUUUUUCCCAGGUGGUAUGUGCCGGGCCCUCUGAUCUUUCUCCCUCACCCCUACCCCCCACCAGACUAUAGGAAUAAACUUUUCCGUUUGCAAGGGCCGCAUAAUUCCCGGCUACGGUUCAGCGGCCACAUCCCAGUUGCCGACCUUCCCACCAGCUGUCACACCCUCUACCUGCUGCCAAGUGGCCCUGGAAGAAUGCUCCGGGUGAUUUCCUGCCCCUGGAAACAUCAAAGCCAGCCCUCUCCCUGUUCCCAUUCUUCUUAGUGAAUGCGCCACUGGUUGAUAUAAAGGAGACAAGUGCUCAGCAGCCUCAACGACAGGGGGAGAAUUCAGGUCCGUGGGAGGGGGGCUUGGUGGCCAGAGCAGGGAGGGGAAGUUCUGCAUCACAUCCAGGGAUCCGGCCAGGCACUCAGGCCCCAUCAGCACCCAUGAAAAUACCAGCACCCCCGCGUGGGCUUCCAAAAAGAAGCUGCUGCCUCAAGUUAUUAUUUCUAUAUUGUAUAAUAAUCAGGCCACUGUUUUGAGAUCAUGUCAAAGAUAACAAAGCAUCAGAAGCCUCUUCUGCCGCUGAAGAACCAAUCAACCUAAACUAAUACUUUAAUGACCACUUUUCCCAACGAGAAAACAAAUUCAGACAAAAAAAAAAAAANAAAAAAAAAAAAA
rnacentral:lncRNA from 1 species